AUUGAACGCUAGCGGGAUGCUUUACACAUGCAAGUCGAACGAGUGGCGGACGGGUGAGUAAUAUAACGGAACGUGCCCAGUAGCGGGGGCUAACUACUCGAAAGAGUGGAUAAUAACGCAUACUAUUGCACCGGCUGCUAUCGGAUUAGCGAGUUGGUGGGGUACAGUCUAACCAAGGAAACGAUCCGUAGCUGGUUUGAGAGGACGACCAGCCACACUGGAACUGAGACACGGCCCAGACUCCUACGGGAGGCAGCAGUGGGGAAUUUUGGACAAUGGGGGAAACCCUGAUCCAGCCAUCCCGCGUGUAUGAGAAGGCCUUCGGGUUGUAAAGUACUUUUGGCAGGGAAGCGGUAUCUGCAGAAUAAGCACCGGCUAACUACGUGCCAGCAGCCGCGGUAAUAC
rnacentral:rRNA from 1 species